rnacentral:rRNA from 1 species
GGUCCCUAUCUGCCGUGGGCGCUGGAGAACUGAGGGGGGCUGCUCCUAGUACGAGAGGACCGGAGUGGACGCAUCACUGGUGUUCGGGUUGUCAUGCCAAUGGCACUGCCCGGUAGCUAAAUGCGGAAGAGAUAAGUGCUGAAAGCAUCUAAGCACGAAACUUGCCCCGAGAUGAGUUCUCCCUGACUCCUUGAGAGUCCUAAAGGAACGUUGAAGACGACGACGUUGAUAGGCCGGGUGUGUAAGCGCAGCGAUGCGUUGAGCUAACCGGUACUAAUGAACCGUGAGGCUUAACCUUACAACGCCGAAGGUGUUU